UAGGGAAUCUUCGGCAAUGGACGAAAGUCUGACCGAGCAACGCCGCGUGAGUGAAGAAGGUUUUCGGAUCGUAAACUCUGUUGUUAGAGAAGAACAAGGGUGAGAGUAACUGUUCACCCUGACGGUAUCUAACCAGAAAGCCACGGCUAACUACGUGCCAG
rnacentral:rRNA from 1 species